AUGGGAGACCUCAAGGUGCCAAGCGUGCUAUGCUUGCUACUGCUCAUGCCACUCCUCUUGGUUCCUGGCUCUGAAGCCGACACAUGCAGCAAGUUCAGCAAGACCUAUACCGGCAAGGCUUCCUGGUGCAAGUAUGCUCCAUGUGCCAAGGCUUGCCAAAAGGAGGGUUUUACCGAAGGGGUGUGUGCCAUGAUCCGCGCCAGACCCCUUUUUAUGCGUUGUCUCUGCAAGAAAGAGUGCUAA
rnacentral:rRNA from 1 species